UCUCCGUUGGUGAACCAGCGGAGGGAUCAUUACCGAGUUUACAACUCCCAAACCCCAUGUGAACCUUACCAAACGUUGCUUCGGCGGGAUGCCCCGGGCGCGGGCCGCAAGGCCUCAGCCCCGGAACCAGGCGCCCGCCGGAGGCCCAAACCAAACUCUUGUUUUUGUAGAAUCUUCUGAGUGGCCUUUUAGGCAAAAAAUGAAUCAAAACUCUCAACAACGGAUCUCUUGGUUCUG
rnacentral:misc_RNA from 1 species